CUGGGGAUCGUUGCUUGUUGGUGGAGAGGCUUUUUGAGGAUUAUCUCUUGCACGCUUGUGGGUUGUUCUUAGUGUUCUUCCUUUGCAACAGAAUUUGUCAGAGAGAGAAGACAACGUGAUGCAAUUUGAGAUAUGUUUUUCACAGUUUACCCUGGUUUUUAGUUUUAUUUCUCAGAAAUGCUGAUAUUGAAAAUGAAAUCUAUUCAUUAAGUUUUACAGCUCAACAUAAUUUGUAGCUAUAUGCACUUAUAGUCGUAUUUGUGCAUUCUUAAAUGUUAUAUAGUUUACAUGCUAUUGGGAAAUAUGAAGUAAUUUUCAUGGGAAUUUAGUUUAAUGAAUUUGGGGUUGCACUGGUGUUUUGGUUA